rnacentral:rRNA from 1 species
CACUCCUGCGGGAGGCAGCAGUGGGGAAUAUUGGACAAUGGGCGCAAGCCUGAUCCAGCCAUGCCGCGUGAGUGAUGAAGGCCCUAGGGUUGUAAAGCUCUUUCACCGGUGAAGAUAAUGACGGUAACCGGAGAAGAAGCCCCGGCUAACUUCGUGCCAGCAGCCGCGGUAAUACGAAGGGGGCUAGCGUUGUUCGGAUUUACUGGGCGCAAAGCGCACGUAGGCGGACUAUUAAGUCAGGGGUGAAAUCCCGGGGCUCAACCCCGGAACUGCCUUUGAUACUGGUAGUCUUGAGUUCGAGAGAGGUGAGUGGAAUUCCGAGUGUAGAGGUGAAAUUCGUAGAUAUUCGGAGGAACACCAGUGGCGAAGGCGGCUCACUGGCUCGAUACUGACGCUGAGGUGCGAAAGCGUGGGGAGCAAACAGGAUUAGAUACCCGUGUAGUCCCAUGAU